ACCCCGCGGCCUAUCAGCUUUUUGGUGAGGUAAUGGCUCACCAAGACCACGGGUAGCCGGCUUAAGAGGCCGACGGGCCACACUGGGACUGAGACACGGCCCAGAUUCCUACGGGAGGCAGCAGUGGGGAAUAUUGCACAUUGGGCGAAAGCCUGAUGCAGCGACGCCGCGUGAGGGAUGACGGCCUUCGGGUUGUAAACCUCUUUCAGCAGGGAAGAAGCGAAAGUGACGGUACCUGCAGAAGAAGCGCCGGCUAACUACGUGCCAGCAGCCGCGGUAAUACGUAGGGCGCAAGCGUUGUCCGGAAUUAUUGGGCGUAAAGAGCUCGUAGACGGCUUGUCACGUCGGGUGUGAAAGCCCGGGGCUUAACCCCGGGUCUGCAUUCGAUACGGGCUAGCUAGAGUGUGGUAGGGGAGAUCGGAAUUCCUGGUGUAGCGGUGAAAUGCGCAGAUAUCAGGAGGAACACCGGUGGCGAAGGCGGAUCUCUGGGCCAUUACUGACGUUGAGGAGCGAAAGCGUGGGGAGCGAACAGGAUUAGAUACCCUGGUAGUCCACGCCGUAAACGGUGGGAACUAGGUGUUGGCGACAUUCCACGUCGUCGGUGCCGCAGCUAACGCAUUAAGUUCCCCGCGUGGGGAGUACGGCCGCAAGGCUAAAACUCAAAGGAAUUGACGGGGGCCCGCACAAGCAGCGGAGCAUGUGGCUUAAUUCGACGCAACGCGAAGAACCUUACCAAGGCUUGACAUACACCGGAAACGUCUGGAGACAGGCGCCCCCUUGUGGUCGGUGUACAGGUGGUGCAUGGCUGUCGUCAGCUCGUGUCGUGAGAUGUUGGGUUAAGUCCCGCAACGAGCGCAACCCUUGUUCUGUGUUGCCAGCAUGCCCUUCGGGGUGAUGGGGACUCACAGGAGACCGCCGGGGUCAACUCGGAGGAAGGUGGGGACGACGUCAAGUCAUCAUGCCCCUUAUGUCUUCGGCUGCACACGUGCUACAAUGGCAGGUACAAUGAGCUGCGAUACCGUGAGGUGGAGCGAAUCUCAAAAAGCCUGUCUCAGUUCGGAUUGGGG
rnacentral:rRNA from 1 species